rfam:Rattus norvegicus chromosome 14, whole genome shotgun sequence.
AGAUGCGAGGGUGAUCUGGCUGCAACAUCUGUCACCCCAUUGAUUACCAGUGUUGAUUUGGCCGUUCUGACUGACUAGGCGGGUGCCCCCUUCCUCCCUCACCGCUCCGUGUGCUUCCCUCUUGAAGCUGCACGCUUGGUCGAAGAUAGCCCUCCAGGAAUAGAGGAGGACCGGUCUUUGGUUGAGGGUAUAGUAGUAGCUGUGCUCCCUGUUAGAACCUCCAAACAAGCUCUCAAGGCCCAUACUCGGGCUUUUAUCUUGGAAUAUCUCUCUCUCUCUC